GGUACAUGGGUCACGUUCGGUGGACAGGUCACCGAUGAGGUUGCAGAAGAGCUCCUUACUGUCGCUUACGAGAGAGGCAUAAACUUUUUUGACACUGCUGAAGUGUAUUCUGCUGGCAAAGCAGAACUUGUUCUAGGGAAAAUUUUAAAGAAGAAACAAUGGCGAAGGUCAAGUUAUAUCAUUUCCACCAAGAUCUACUGGGGCGGCAA
rnacentral:sRNA from 1 species